rnacentral:rRNA from 1 species
GAUGAACGCUGGCGGCGUGCCUAAUACAUGCAAGUCGAGCGAACGGACGAGAAGCUUGCUUCUCUGAUGUUAGCGGCGGACGGGUGAGUAACACGUGGAUAACCUACCUAUAAGACUGAGAUAACUUCGGGAAACCGGAGCUAAUACCGGAUGAUAUUUUGAACCGCAUGGUUCAAAAGUGAAAGACGGUCUUGCUGUCACUUAUAGAUGGAUCCGCGCUGCAUUAGCUAGUUGGUAAGGUAACGGCUUACCAAGGCAACGAUGCAUAGCCGACCUGAGAGGGUGAUCGGCCACACUGGAACUGAGACACGGUCCAGACUCCUACGGGAGGCAGCAGUAGGGAAUCUUCCGCAAUGGGCGAAAGCCUGAUGGAGCAACGCCGCGUGAGUGAUGAAGGUCUUCGGAUCGUAAAGCUCUGUUAGUAGGGAAGAACAUAUGUGUAAGUAACUGUGCCCAUCUUGACGGUACCUAAUCAGAAAGCCACGGCUAACUACGUG